rnacentral:rRNA from 1 species
UUAAAGGGCCGCGGUAUUCCUGACCGUGCGAAGGUAGCAUAAUCACUAGUCUUUUAAUUGGAGGCUCGUAUGAAUGGUUGGACGAAAAAUAAUCUGUCUCUUAGUUGAAAUCUGAAUUUAACAUUUAAGUGAAAAGGCUUAGAUAUAGUAAAAAGACGAUAAGACCCUAUAAAUCUUUACACCAUUUAGAAAUUUAGAGCUAGUUAUAAGUAAAAUGUUAUUAAAUAUCUUAAGGUGUUUUGUUGGGGCAACAUGGAUAAAAAAUUAUCUGUCUAUAAAAAUUACAAAAAAUUUUUGAAUAAACCUACAAGAUCCUUUAUAGAGAUUAUAAGAUUAAGUUACUUUAGGGAUAACAGCGUUAUUUUACUUGAGAGUUCAUAUCGAAAGUAAAGUUUGCGACCUCGAUGUUGAAUUAAAAUUUCUCUAUGGUGCAGCAGCUAUAGGAGAGAGUCUGUUCGACUC